CAGCGUUUUUCCAUAUUGCUCUUAAUCUACAGUAGCUGCAGUAUCCAAUAAACGACAUAAAAUACACAAAAAUAUACACAAAAAUAACUGCAUCUAUCAUGCCAGACAGCCACCAAAAACAUGUUGAGGACAUAUUUGAUUAUCUAGUGCAUGAACAUGUGUUUCUGAAGCGAAAGGAAACAUAGCCUUUUUGUAUCAUUUUUUUUAAACCUCAAAUAUCAAAGAAACAACAUUUCAAAGCUUUUUCGAUCCACAUAAACCCAUUGGAAAAAAAAUAUUGCGUGAAGUUGGUGUUUUUGUCCUAUCAAGUGGACAUUUAGAAGGGCUUGUGACGUCACACGGCUGCUUGCUCAGCGGGAAGAGAAAAAGCGUGCAAAAGGAAGGCGACGGUCAUGGCCACAACACAGGCCAGUAGAAGUUUACUUUGCGGAUUCCCGAGGCCACAAAAGCUGCAAAAAUUACGGCCUAACAAUUGACUUGUCAAUAUUCCUUCCACCCCUAAAAUGAGACGGUGCAAAUAGACUUAUCUGGCAUGAAAAUUGUUGAGAAAAUCAGAAUUUUGCACCUUUCGAACCUUAGGCAAUUUGAACAAGCUGCUACGUCGGAGCCAACGAGUUACACAAAGUCUUGUAGCUAGGCACAGAAAAAUCGAUAGCGAAUCUAAGAGCAAUAUGGGGUGUGAAAGGGUUUUAGAGAGAAAUAAGUCUAUCAAGAAGGCAAAGUCGUCGAGAAAAUGGCAAGGUAUUUGUCUCGUUUUGUUCAGUUUUGAUCGCUUACACGUGCACUCGUUGGGGUAGCGUCAUUGUUCUCAAGUCAUUUACUUGUUGCUGUUCUUAUAAUUCGUAUUCAAUUGAGCUUUAUGAAUUAUCUCUAGUAGAGGGUCUUAACAUGACUAUCAAUUCUAGCUAAAGAUAUUAUGGAUAAUUAUAGAAAUCUGAGCUGAAGGGUCGUUUACAGUGUUUUGGUCGAUUGACAUAAUCCGCUGUAGAGUGGAACCUACACGAUCAGGUUUAGACAAGGUGAGAAUCAAACACACCAAAAUAAUAAUCCCCUCGAAGCGUUCUGGCGCCAUUAGAGUAGCAAAACAUGCUGAUGGGGCGAAAAAUUCAUGAUUUCAUUGAACUGAUGAAGCCCAGCGUAAUCAUUGAGAAAUUAGAAGCGAGGAGGUUAAAUAUUCCUAGGAGUGAUUUUAUUCCAUAUCCUGCCAGAAGCAGGGUAUUUUAAUACAAAUUGUUGUUUGUUCUAUUGUUAUUCUGGGGUUAAAUUUAUGUAGGGUACAAAAGAGAGGAUUUUUUUUGUGUGUAUUCACUGACAGAAAACCAUACAAUCUGAUGAUACCAAACAGACCCUUAUCUUCUACCAUAAAUGAUCUAUAAUAUCAAUACAGCCAUCCUAUAAAAAACGUGCAAUUCCAUUGUUUUUAUUUGAAAGGUAGGAGCCCUGAUAAUUCGAACUAUAGGAUUUGGAUGAUAAUUUCAGUCAUGAAGCAUCAUUGAUUCCUAGUAUUUUGUGGUGUGUGUGGGGGGGGGGACAUUUUUUCAUGUAUGUCCAUUUGGCUAAACAGGGGGGAAAAGUUUCCUCCCCCUUGUUCUAAGCUAUAGCCCUGCUGCUAAAUCAAACUGUUUUUAUUAUAUUUCACCUUCAGAGUUAGAAGGGGAAUGUGCAUCUACCCAGGUGACUACACAAAGAAGUUUGUUUUUCCACUUAGGGCUACAAAUAGGGGGAUCAAGUGUUUCCGGGGUGGCUAGUAUGAGGAUUUCAUGGAAAGGAGAUCCAAUGUCUUUUUUUAUGUUUUCAUACAAAAUCUCAGAGAUUAGGGGACCACAGCGGUCCACCCCAAGGUCCACCAUAGAUGGAGAAAGAAGGCUAUAGAGAGUUACCUAGCCUUACCUUGCUAGUCCACCAUGGCUAAGCUUGCUGUCAUAUGCUAGGUGAAAAAAGACUAUAAUCCAUCAUGUUGACCCUCGCCCUCAACUUUUUAUAGUACAGUAUGCAAAUAAUUUCUUCUCCUGUAUCUAUACUAUUAGCAAUGUCUUUUUAAUAAAGCCAUUGCCCCCUUCACAAGAUUGAAGUUAGAAGCUAACGAAGUGCAACCAAGGGAUAAGUUUCAAAUACCCAUAAGUGCCAUGUACAGUCAUCAGCAAUGG